UUUCGUGGAGAGACAGGAUCUGAGGAAGGGAAGGAGUUCAUUAUUAUUCUCUGAAGUCAUCAGGGAGCACCAAGAGGGUGGGAUUUCAGGAAGUAUUUAAAUGAAAGGAGACACAUGGCUUGGCACAGUGAGAGGGAGGUUUUCCAGGCUUCCUGUGCUGUCUUGGGGACCUGCUCAGAGGCUGGACCGCGUCAUGCUCAGAAGGCCCUGUUUUCUUUAGACGCUGACUCCUGCUGUCUACCAGAUCCUCGUGGUACAAUGACUGGUGUAGACUGGCUUGUUGAAGUCACUCUCUGGAUCUGAGCAACGCUGGCUGAGCCGUGAUGAAGUAUUCCUAUCCAUCCACUAUGCUUCACAGUGGGAAUCUCUCACUGUUCAUCACCGCUGCCCUAGCAGCCGCAGGGAUUCUUCACCCAUGGUUGCUUAGGUUUAUAAGCAAGGAAGCUGAAUGAAGUCCCUUUCCUCUCUGGAUGAGCCCCUGGGUUUCUGGAAGAGUCUUAAAAUCACCCCUAAAUGGCUUCCAAGCACUGAAGCCCGAGAUGUUAGCUGGCCUGUGUGAGGCCUUGAGACAGAAUGCCACAGCCACACCCCAAGGAUGCUGAAGGGGAUUUCCCUCCUCUGUGGUUUUUCUCCUUUCUUCCCGCAGCACUCCUCCUACGUGCUAACAUCUUCUAGUCAAACAACUCUCCUUUUCAAAGGGACCAGGCACAGUUUCUGCUUAUCCCUGAGUAGCAGUGUUCAGUUUCCUGCCAGCCUGUGGAGUUUUUCAAACAAGCCAAUCACCUCCUCCUGUGGGAACUGAGAAGCACCCCACCCUCUCGAUACUACAAAGCCCCUGCUUGUUCCCUAGUGCAACUCCCAUGUGGUCCUGUGGAGCAUAUGGUAUCUUCCUCUUCUGGGCAGUGAGCAUAUGUGACUAAUAAACUAUCUAUCUCAUCUGUUCA
rnacentral:lncRNA from 1 species